rnacentral:rRNA from 1 species
CACGUAGUUAGCCGUGGCUUUCUAUUCCGGUACCGUCAAAUCCUUGCACUAUUUGCACAAGAACCAUUCGUCCCGAUUAACAGAGCUUUACAACCCGAAGGCCGUCAUCACUCACGCGGCGUUGCUCCGUCAGACUUUCGUCCAUUGCGGAAGAUUCCCCACUGCUGCCUCCCGUAGGAGUCUGGGCCGUGUCUCAGUCCCAAUGUGGCCGUUCAUCCUCUCAGACCGGCUACUGAUCAUCGCCUUGGUGGGCCGUUACCCCUCCAACUAGCUAAUCAGACGCAAUCCCCUCCUUCAGUGAUAGCUUAUAAAUAGAGGCCACCUUUCAUCUAUCCUCGAUGCCGAGGUCAGAUCGUAUGCGGUAUUAGCAGUCGUUUCCAACUGUUGUCCCCCUCUGAAGGGCAGGUUGAUUACGCGUUACUCACCCGUUCGCCACUAAGAUUGAUAGAAGCAAGCUUCCAUCGCUCUUCGUUCGACUUGCAUGUGUUAAGCACGCCG